rnacentral:lncRNA from 1 species
UUUUUUUUCUUUUGACCUUUAAGAGAUCUGGAAAUACAUCCUGUGUAGCAGUCAUUUAACACAGACAGAUUUAAGUCUGAAAGCGUUAACUUUUGGAAUUAAACACUAAUUUUGAUUUCUUUAACAAACGCAGAAAUGAAAUGACAUUAUUUUAUUCUCUUCUGAACAGUUUUAGGGCUGAGCAUAAUCAGUUGCCUUGCAGUGGUGUGUGUGUUUCCUUUUCUAUUAAAAAAUUUUUUUAAAUCCGUGAGCCCCCAGAGAGAAAUGCAAAAAUGAAAAAUUCAGGCUUCCAUUUCAAAAAUAUUAAAUUCUAGCAUUUCAUCCCUGCAAAGAACCUUCUCCAUACCAAGGUUACAUGGAGUAGAGUGAGUUGAGUCAAAAGGUACAUGUUAAGGGGUUGCUACUGUUUCAUCUUGCAUCUUACUAUUUUGGUGGUGAUUGAGGGAAGGGAUGUGAAAAAAGAGAAGGAAAGGGACAUGGCGACAUUUUGUUCUUUAUAAGAGAUUGAUAUUGAGGGGGCCAGAAAGGCAAGAGGACAGGAUAAGCAGGAAAUAUUACCUGAGAGAAGGAAUUACAGAGCAUGGCGAUGCUGGAAGCUAGGAAGGCUUCUGCGGGAAGUUGUGCGAGGGGGAGAUAGGGGAUUGCUCUCUGGCGCCCUCUAAUGGCAAUUUGAACCCAUAUUUUUACUUUCUCAAUUCAGUACUGGGAAAAGCAGCUGGGUUUUUGUUGUUGCUUUUGGUUUUUUCCUCCACAGACUUAGAAACUAGAGACUAUUAGCGGAGUAAAUUGAUUGUUUUCAACCCCGAAACUUAUGUAUAUGCCUUAAAAUUAUCAAUGGUUUUUCUUCAAACAUUCCUGUUCUCCUGAAAUUCGUUAGAGUAAUAGAAGUAAGGCUAAUGGCAAAUUGAUUUAUAGAGGAUGGCCCAUGCCCAAUUAGUAAUUUGGGGAAAGGGAUUCCUUUCCCACCUGAACAGCAUUCUGACUCUUCUAAUAUACUCGAGAGGUGUGGCGGGGUGGAGUGGGGAGGGAUGAUUUGGAAAUUGCAGAUUCUGACACUGGCUCAUUAUAAUACAAUUUAAAGGGGGCUCUUAGGAACCUCUGUUAUUUCGACAUGUGGUGGUAAGGGGGCUUUACUUCCCGCCUCCUUUCUCUUUUUUUCUUUUUCUUCUUUCUUUCGUUCUUUUUUUUUUUUUAAAUUUGGUAGAUAAAGGUUAAUCUUGGGCUGAAUGAUAGAGCUAUGAUUGACAAGAGAAAAGGUGUUGAGGGCAGGUCGCGCUGUCUUAUUUACAGCCCACUGCUUGCUGUAGAGUCUUUGUUAGGACUGGAAAGCUAAUUUAGUGCUGAUCAAAAGCACCACAGAGUUAAAGGACUGGUAAUGACUGCUAAUUUCAUUUCAGCCUCAUGCAUCCCCAACUGCUGUAAUUAAAGACAUGCUAUUUAAAUACAGGUGAAGGGUGUUUUUUUUUUUUUUAAGUUAGGGUGGGGGUGAGUGGAUUACAAUUUUAUGUAGAUUUCAUCUUAUACUUGGGUAUUAUGUAGUCCAGCAUUAAAAAAAAUUUUUGUAGAGUCGCUUCUUGUCAUUUAUACCUGGCUUUGCAGAAUACGCAAUGUGAAACGUGUCAAUCACAUAAAAGUCUCUGUUUAAAGAAAGAAAGGGGGGAAAGGGAUGCAGAGGAGUAACUGUUUGGGGGGAUUUAAAUAUUUGGGUCUCUUUUUUUUUUUUUUCCCCUUCAAAUUAAUAGAAAGACCUUCGAAAUAGCUAAGGUAUUUGAAACUUGGGGCAGGGUGAACAGGCCAAAGAGAUCAAUGUCAGCUUUUUAAGUACUUCUAAAAAGAUCAUGUGAACAGAUGGAAAAAUAUAUUUUUAAUUAAAUAAUUUCCCUCACACUGUAGCUGCAGUGUUGGCUCAGAAACCAUGUAAUUCCUCAACCGAUAGGAGUUUCUUUAUGAGAACAUCAAAGGAUAAAAAGCUCUACAUUUUCGUAGUUGGUUAAAAUUGAUACCCCCCCACACACACACGCACACGCACGCACACACACUUGCACACACCCCAAAAAAGAAUUUAGCCUUUAAUCUCUUUUUAUCCAAGAAGACUAAAGCUCUGUACUCGACCCCGCAAGCGGCUCUCGCCUUCCGGGGCUGGAACCCGGCUCAGAUGUGAAGCGACGCUGAGCCGCCGCGCAGGUUCGUGCCCAGCGCCCCCUGUUGGACUCAGUAGGAGCUGCGCAGCGCCAGUCCUAGAAAUAGCUAGAACUUUGCUCUGGGGUUAAAUAAAACUCUUUAUUACCCUCCAAAAAAGAGAUAGGGUAAAGAAGCAAAUUGUUAUAUCCUUAAAAGAUAAUAUAAGUUUAAUUCAAUAAAAAGUUAAAAGGAGAUAACACAAUUUUAAUUCAGUAAAAAAUAAAGAAGUCUCUAUUCCACCUCCUCAUAUCCUGGCAGCCAUCCAUCUACCCCCCCAUUCAGUGAUAGUAAAACAGGCAAAAGAGGCGUGAUUUUAAGAGAAAGAGAAAGAAAAUUUUCCUCUGUAGCAGUGGAGAACCAAACAAAAGUUUUUUCUCCCGUUCUGUCCAGAUUUGGAAAAAUAAAAUGGAAGAUGGGGCUGCGUGCUGUUUUGACGUUGUCAGCAGCAUCUUGAAUGCCCUCAGAAAUCCUUCAAGUAGAGUAACUGAGUCUCUGAGUAAACGAAACAACUUGAUCCUUUUAAAAUUUAUUUUCAGAGUGUAAUUAAAAGGCCGGUUUCUUCUUUAAAUGUUUCCCAUCCCUCAAACCAAUUUGAUCAAACUUUUCCUUCCCUGGCUAGCGAUUAAAUUCCAGAUAUCUGAAAUUUCUUAAACAGUAUCUAGUACCUGACAUACACACCCUCUUUUUUUCUGAGCCAUAGGAUUUCAGGAAAGGAGUGUCAAUGGUAAAAAAAUUUUAAAAAAAAGUAUUCUCUUUUGAAAUUCAGCAUUUUCAUUGAUCAGGAAUCCAAAUUAUCCUAGGGGUAGAGGAGCAUUUUUACACUUUCAAAAACUACCUGUCUACAUAUGAAAGAGCUUUGGCUUUUUCUUUGGUCAGCGAGUGAGGGCAAAAGUACACUUUGAAUUCGUUCAGAAAGGCAAUUAUAAAAAUGACACAUCCACUAAAUUUAAAACAGUGGGAAAAUAGGGGUUUGUUUAUGUGCUUAAAAUCAGACUGAAACAAUAUGUGUGCUAAAUGAACACAUGAUCUCAACAAGGUGUUAUGAUUUCUAUCUUGAGGAAUGUACUUACAAUUUUAACUUUUAUAUAAAAACCUUAAGAAGUUGAGAGCUUGCUUAUUGUUUUUUAAAGUUUGCCUACUGAAGAAAACUAGCUUAAUUUUCAUAGCAGAAUUACUUUUUAAAAUGUAUAACACUGUGGCUACCGAAAUUGUUUUUAAUGUUGAUCUUCCCCACCUCCCACAGUCAUCGGACCUGAGAUUGUGUUUUCAAGGAAGUUUCUAUUUGGUAAGAUGAGAGACGCUUUCUCCAUCUGAUUCCAGAAUCGAGUCUCAGCUUAAGCUUCUCAAUAAAUGAGUUUGGAUACAGUGGUAGGAAGAGAAUUAAGGCAUUUAAUCAUUUUUUACCUGGAAUUCUAUCCAAAUGAUGGGCAAACAGGAUUCCCUGCUACAGACAACCGUUCCCCUACCCUUUGCUUCACCAAAGAUGAUUGCCCAUUACACAAAUAUUAAGUCCUGGCCAAGUUUGGUGCCAACCCUGUUAAGGUAACAGUGUUUCUGACAAACACGGUCCAAGACUGCCUGCAGCAUGGGGAGGCCAAAGCCAGCAGAAUCUUGGAGGCAACCAGGUAAAGGAGAUAUACUUGCUUGCUGUUCGGAAGUGAUGUAGAAUUUGCAAAAGCAGAGGCCAGAGAUUUCAUACCGUCUUCUUCCCCAGGCGGUCCGGCCUGUAUGGAGGGGGCAAGGGGAGGAGCCUGCACCUGGCUGCGGGAAGAAGGCAGGCAGUGAGCCUCCAAAUUCCCAGGGCCCAAGGAGAAAGCACAACCCCUAGUUUAGAAAAAAAGAACUGAACAAGUGGGUGGCCUAGGUCUGGAAAUACCACCCAGCUCUCCCAGCACAAAGUCAUUUCUGUGGUUUCAGGCAGCCUCAGCCCCUGCUGGAAACUCACGCCCCUCUUUGGCCAGCAGGAAGGCAGCCCUUCCACCUUGGGGGCUGGGGAGGGGGCAGCGAGUGACUGACUCCUUAGUAGCAGGCAAAGCUGCAACGCUGGCAACCUGCCGAGUUUCCUCCGCAGCAGCGAAGCGCCCUUUAGGGGCGGGGCGGGCAUUUUUGGUUUCUUUACCAGCUUCCAUGCCUGAGCCCACAACUGUUGGUUGAGCUCCCUGCUUUGUAAGUAGUCAGUCUUGCCCAGUUCUGAGGGCGAUCCAGGAGGAUGAGCCAGCCUGGCUUUGGAUCCAUUGAGCGCUAUGUCUUCAGCCCCUCUCCCUACCAUUCCCUCACACCUUUCCUGGUGAACCCAAGCCUCACUCUGAAAGCCAGUAUGUAGGGCUUUGAGUUUGGGAGCUAUUUGGAGGAGGAGAAAAUCGUUGAUUAUUAAAACCAAGAUUCAAGGAUAAACUCUCAAUUAUUAUUAUUUGCCCUUUUACAUUAUCUUUAAACUUUGAAGAUCCUCUAGUCCCAUUGAUCCAACCCUGAAACAGACAAGGCAUCAGGGAGAAAGCCUAGCCUAGCUUGAAGGAGCUGGGGUAUAGACAGAUACUCAUCUCUCCACCAUUCAGCAGGCAGAUAAGCACUUCUAGGCUGUGGGUCCUAAUCCAGGGCACAGCUGCUAUGUGGGUUGCUGAAGGGUGUUGAAACUACAAGUACAACUUGACACCAUUGAGCCCACAGUGCUUGUCAAUAAUCUGUGAAUUAGGUGCAGAGAUUGUCACUGUAGAUCAUAACAGUUUCUGGAGGACUCAUUACAGCCUAUCGUGUAAAUGAUCUUCAUAUUAAGGGGGGGAGGGGAAAGGAGUAGGGAGAGCCUACAAAAAGGGAAGAAGGGUGGGAGGGGAGAUAAAAGUCAGAGCCUCAGCUCCUUAGGAGCCUUUAAAGAUUAUCAGGCUAGCGAUCUGAGAAUUCCACUGGGAUGGGUUUGGAAGGCCAACUCUGUCUGAGCCGGGGCUGCAAAGGGGGCACUAGGGGUUGAGCAGAAGUGGGCCCCUGGGAAGGCAGACUUCUCAGACAUGUCUUUUGACAGCAGAAGAGCUUUGGGGAGAGGGCUCCAGAUGUCAAUGGGAGGCCUAGAGGAUGCCAGCCCGCCCAGGAUGGGUGUACACUUUCAUUUAGAGUGAAAGUCUUUCUUCCUUUUUCUUUAAUAGUAUUCCUGUCCCUCAGGCACAGGUUAAGCAGAUCUUUCUUUCCCCACCUUGCUUUUGGGGGUGCCAAACCUCUCUGCCUUCUGAGGUAGUUGAGUUGUCACUUUUUGUGAGUUUGUAUUAUGUCUGAUUGUAUUUCCAAAAGGGGAUUUUGCAAGUAACACAGGAGCAGUAUGCACCAUGAGAUCUCCAGAAGGAAGAAAACUAAAUCCCAUUGCUGUAGCUUGGAAGGGACCAGGCUAAGGGAAAGAUGCUCUCUCUGCUUGGUGUAUUGCCAAUGCAGUGUGUGUGGAGCCCAGCAUGCACUGAGGUGUCAUUCAUGUGUCAUUUAAAAUGGUCUAGAAAAAGCUUAAGGAAUGUUUGUUUUCCACUCAAAAGUUGUGGUCACAACUAAAUGAAAUAAUCAGAGAAUUUGAAACAAUGAUCUUUUUCCUGAAAUGAGGAUAACAAUCCUAGUCAGUGGAAAAUUAGGAUUCUGAAGAAACCUUUUUCUUUUGGUAUGAUUAAUUGCACAAGAUAGUGCGAUCAGUCAGGGAGGUAUGUAGUAAGACUCCCAAGCUGCAGCAAUGGUUUAGAGGUAUGAAAAGGCCCAAGAAUUUUUUGGGCCAUUUGCAGUUCCUGGGGAUCUGUUUGCUGGGUUUUUAUUUUUGUUUUUCAUUCCCUUCUCCUAAAUUUUAAUAUCAAAAUCAUAGGUUCAUUUUUUUCAAUACAAAUGAAAACCACUGGUGGCAGCUUUUUAAGUUUUCAGUUUGUCUCUUUAAAAGGGGAGUUUAUAUUUAAAUAGAUUAUUUAAUGGGCACACUGAAUUUUUUCCCCUGCACAACAGCUGCAGUGCAGAGAUGGAAUCUUAUGUUAAAACUGCUUGAUAAU